rnacentral:rRNA from 1 species
UACGGAGGGUGCAAGCGUUAAUCGGGAUUACUGGGCGUAAAGCGCACGCAGGCGGUCUGUUAAGUCAGAUGUGAAAUCCCCGGGCUUAACCUGGGAACUGCAUUUGAAACUGGCAGGCUUGAGUCUUGUAGAGGGGGGUAGAAUUCCAGGUGUAGCGGUGAAAUGCGUAGAGAUCUGGAGGAAUACCGGUGGCGAAGGCGGCCCCCUGGACAAAGACUGACGCUCAGGUGCGAAAGCGUGGGGAGCAAACAGG